GACGAAGGAUGCAAGCGUUAUCCGGAUUCAUUGGGUUUAAAGGGAGCGUAGGCGGCCUUGUAAGUCAGUGGUGAAAUCUUCCCGCUUAACGGGAAAACUGCCAUUGAUACUGCUUGGCUAGAGUAUAGAUGCUGUGGGCGGAAUAUGACAUGUAGUGGUGAAAUACAUAGAGAUGUCAUAGAACACCGAUUGCGAAGGCAGCUCACAAAACUAUAACUGACGCUGAGGCUCGAAAGUGUGGGGAUCAAACAGG
rnacentral:rRNA from 1 species